GGCUGUUGCUGAUCCCUCUUGGGGGAAUACGUGCACGCUUGUCUCAUCUUUUUCAUUUUCCCCAACUGUGCACAUCUUGUAGACCCUGGAGCUUUAUGAAUUUUCAUUCGAGUCGGGACUGCUGUGCCUCCUUUGAGGUCGGCUUUUCCUUGCAUCUCCAGGGUCUAUGUUAUUUCUUCACAAUCUCUCAAAUGUGUUUAGAAUGUUGAAUCAGGUGCUUUUGCACCUAUAAAUGAAAAAUACAACUUUCAGCAACGGAUCUCUUGGCUCUCGCAUCGAUGAAGAACGCAGCGAAAUGCGAUAAGUAAUGUGAAUUGCAGAACUCAGUGAAUCAUCGAAUCUUUGAACGCACCUUGCGCUCCUUGGUAUUCCGAGGAGCAUGCCUGUUUGAGUGUCAUUUGAACUUCUCACCACAUACAGAAAUGUGAUGUGGCUUGGACUUUGGGGGUCUUCUUUGCAGGCUUUCCGAAAGGAAGGUCAGCUCCCCUGAAACGUAUUAGUGGCAUCUGAGCUGCUGCUAUUAGGUGUGAUAAUUAUCUAUGCCUUUGGUAUGCUGCAUGAACAGGUUGCGCUGCUUAUAAUAAUAAUAAUCUGACAAAUCGGACCUCAAAUCAGGUAGGACUACCCGCUGAACUUAAGCAUAUCAAUAG
rnacentral:rRNA from 1 species